CAGCCGCCACGGGAAUACGAAGGGUGCAAGCGUUAAUCGGAAUUACUGGGCGUAAAGCGUGCGUAGGCGGUGAGUUAAGUCUGCUGUGAAAUCCCCGGGCUCAACCUGGGAAUGGCAGUGGAUACUGGCUCGCUAGAGUGUGUCAGAGGAUGGUGGAAUUCCCGGUGUAGCGGUGAAAUGCGUAGAGAUCGGGAGGAACAUCAGUGGCGAAGGCGGCCAUCUGGGACAACACUGACGCUGAGGCACGAAAGCGUGGGGAGCAAACAGGAUUAGAUACCCCCGUAGUCCCUGUCUCUUAUAC
rnacentral:rRNA from 1 species